GACGAACGCUGGCGGCGUGCCUAAUACAUGCAAGUCGAACGGAAAGGCCCUGCUCUUGUGGGGCGCUCGAGUGGCGAACGGGUGAGUAACACGUGAGUAACCUGUCCCUGACUUUGGGAUAACUUCAGGAAACUGGGGCUAAUACCGGGUAGGAGCUCCUGAUGCAUGGUGGGGGUUGGAAAGAUUCGGCGGUUGGGGAUGGACUCGCGGCUUAUCAGCUUGUUGGUGGGGUUGUGGCUUACCAAGGCUUUGACGGGUAGCCGGCCUGAGAGGGUGACCGGCCACAUUGGGACUGAGAUACGGCCGAGACUCCUACGGGAGGCAGCAGUGGGGAAUAUUGCACGAUGGGCGGAAGCCUGAUGCAGCAACGCCGCGUGCGGGAUGACGGCCUUCGGGUUGUAAACCGCUUUCGCCUGUGACGAAGCGUGAGUGACGGUAAUGGGUAAAGAAGCACCGGCUAACUACGUG
rnacentral:rRNA from 1 species